AGUCCGGUAGCUCAGCCGGUCAUAGAGCUGGGGAAAUAGUCAUCCAGAAGACAUCUGACUGAUCAAUUAUCCCAAAGACGCUGGUUCGACUCCAGCCCGGAGUA